AAGGGAGCUUUUCUAUUGUUGGAAACUCCCUCCCUCCCCCUCCCUCCCCUAUAGUUUUUUGGCCCUCCGCCCGGAGGGCCCUUUCUA
rnacentral:misc_RNA from 1 species